AUAUGAAGGCGCUAUGGACUCUUCAGAACAGAAUAAUUUGGAAGUGUAAUGCUUUACUCUUUGUGAAGCCCAUUCUCUGAGACUUCAUCCUUAAAAACCUCCUACAUCAACUUGCUAGUCUUCUCCUGUUAUUCUUUGGUGGCCUUGGAAAUCACAUAAUUCCGGAUUGUGUCACUACAAGAUGAAAACACCUGCAUCCCUGAGUUUGGAGGAUAGUUGCCCAAUUGAGCCACAUGACCCAUAUCGGACUGUGCUGUGAAUGAGAAAUAAACGAUUCUGUUUCUGGAGUUUUGUGAACCACAAAGCAUGAUAUCCAACAGGGUGAUGGUGAAAUGGAAGGGAAAGAUCUCAUUGGUGGAAAAGCUAUA